rnacentral:rRNA from 1 species
GACGAACGCUGGCGGCGUGCUUAACACAUGCAAGUCGAACGAGAAUCUACUGAAAGAGUUUUCGGACAAUGGAUGUAGAGGAAAGUGGCGGACGGGUGAGUAACGCGUGAGGAACCUGCCUUGAANAGGGGGACAACAGUUGGAAACGACUGCUAAUACCGCAUAAGCCCACGGCUCGGCAUCGAGCAGAGGGAAAAGGAACAAUCCGCUUUGAGAUGGCCUCGCGUCCGAUUAGCUAGUUGGUGAGGUAACGGCCCACCAAGGCGACGAUCGGUAGCCGGACUGAGAGGUUGAACGGCCACAUUGGGACUGAGACACGGCCCAGACUCCUACGGGAGGCAGCAGUGGGGAAUAUUGCACAAUGGGGGAAACCCUGAUGCAGCGACGCCGCGUGGAGGAAGAAGGUCUUCGGAUUGUAAACUCCUGUUGUUGGGGAAGAUAAUGACGGUACCCAACAAGGAAGUGACGGCUAACUACGUG